UACGUAGGGUGCAAGCGUUAAUCGGAAUUACUGGGCGUAAAGCGCGCGCAGGCGGUCCUUUAAGUCUGAUGUGAAAGCCCACGGCUCAACCGUGGAGGGUCAUUGGAAACUGGGGGACUUGAGUACAGAAGAGAAGAGUGGAAUUCCACGUGUAGCGGUGAAAUGCGUAGAGAUGUGGAGGAACACCAGUGGCGAAGGCGACUCUUUGGUCUGUAACUGACGCUGAGACGCGAAAGCGUGGGGAGCGAACAGG
rnacentral:rRNA from 1 species